rnacentral:rRNA from 1 species
UACGAAGGGUGCAAGCGUUAAUCGGAAUUACUGGGCGUAAAGAGCGCGCAGGCGGUCGUUCAAGUCGCGUGUGAAAGCCCCCGGCUCAACUGGGGAGGGUCACGCGAUACUGAUCGACUGGAAGGCAGGAGAGGGUAGUGGAAUUCCCGGUGUAGUGGUGAAAUGCGUAGAUAUCGGGAGGAACACCAGUGGCGAAGGCGACUACCUGGCCUGUUCUUGACGCUGAGGCGCGAAAGCUAGGGGAGCAAACGGG